GGGUGCGUAACUCAGCUGGAUAGAGUAGCAGCCUUCUAAGCUGCGAGUCACAGGUUCGAGUCCUGUCGCACCCG
rfam:Phormidium ambiguum IAM M-71 NIES-2119_Scaffold_2, whole genome shotgun sequence.